UACGUAGGGGGCAAGCGUUGUCCGGAUUUACUGGGCGUAAAGAGCGUGUAGGCGGCCACGCAGGUCCGUUGUGAAAACUGGAGGCUCAACCUUCAGACGUCGACGGAAACCGUGUGGCUAGAGUCCGGAAGAGGAGAGUGGAAUUCCUGGUGUAGCGGUGAAAUGCGCAGAUAUCAGGAAGAACACCAAUGGCGAAGGCAGCUCUCUGGGACGGUACUGACGCUGAGACACGAAAGCCAGGGGAGCAAACGGG
rnacentral:rRNA from 1 species